GUUGGCGGCGUGGAUUAGGCAUGCAAGUCGAACGAAUCCCUGGGGGCUUGCUCCCAGGGGGAAGUGGCGAAAGGGGCAGUAAGGCAUGGGUAACCUACCCCGGGGACCGGCAUAGCCUCCCUAACGGGAGGGUAAUUCCGGGUAUAAUGGCGCCCUCGCAUGAGGGGGCCAUGAGAGGAAUUUCGCCCCGGGCGGGGCUCAUGUGGUAUUAGCUUGUUGGCGGGGUAACGGCCCACCAAGGCCCAGAUGCCUAGCGGGUGUGAGAGCACGACCCGCGCCACUGGCACUGAGACACUGGCCAGACUCCUACGGGAGGCUGCAGUCGAGGAUCUUCGGCAAUGGGCGCAAGCCUGACCGAGCGACGCCGCGUGUGCGACGAAGGCCUUCGGGUUGUAAAGCACUGUCGAGGGGGAGGAAAGCCCGUAAGGGUUUGACCUAUCCCUGGAGGAAGCACGGGCUAAGUUCGUGCCA
rnacentral:rRNA from 1 species